rnacentral:rRNA from 1 species
UAGGGAAUCUUCCGCAAUGGGCGAAAGCCUGACGGAGCAACGCCGCGUGAGUGAUGAAGGUCUUCGGAUCGUAAAACUCUGUUAUUAGGGAAGAACAAAUGUGUAAGUAACUAUGCACGUCUUGACGGUACCUAAUCAGAAAGCCACGGCUAACUACGUGCCAGCAGCCGCGGUAAUACGUAGGUGGCAAGCGUUAUCCGGAAUUAUUGGGCGUAAAGCGCGCGUAGGCGGUUUUUUAAGUCUGAUGUGAAAGCCCACGGCUCACCCGUGGAGGGUCAUUGGAAACUGGACAACUUGAGUGCAGAAGAGGAAAGUGGAAUUCCAUGUGUAGCGGUGAAAUGCGCAGAGAUAUGGGGGAACACCAGUGGCGAAGGCGACUUUCUGGUCUGUAACUGACGCUGAUGUGCGAAAGCGUGGGGAUCAAACAGG